rnacentral:rRNA from 1 species
AUAGGUGGGAGGCUUUGAAACCAGGACGCCAGUUUUGGCGGAGCCAUCCUUGGGAUACCACCCUUGUAGUACUGGGACUCUAACCCUAGGCCAUGAAUCUGGUCUUGGGACACUGUCAGGUGGGCAGUUUGACUGGGGCGGUCGCCUCCCAAAAGGUAACGGAGGCGCUAAAAGGUUCUCUCAGUACGGUCGGAAAUCGUACGUAGAGUGUAAAGGCAAAAGAG